GUCUUGUUGAUUAUAAUUUCAAGUCUGACCUGCCCAGUGAGGUAUUAAAUGGCCGCGGUAUUUUGACCGUGCAAAGGUAGCAUAGUCACUAGUUUUUUAAUUGAAAGCUUGAAUGAAGGGUUUGAUGAAAAAAAGACUGUCUCUGUAAAAAUUUAUUAGAAUUUUAUUUUUGAGUUAAAAAGCUUAAAUUUAAGUAGAAGACGAGAAGACCCUAUAGAGUUUUAUAUUUUUAGAGUGAAAUCAUUUGAGGAUUUUGAAAUUUUUUUAUUUAUAAAAAUAUUUUGUUGGGGUGAUAGAAAAAUUAAAUAAACUUUUUUUUUAUUGAUACAUUUAUUUAUGAGUAAAUGAUCCCACAAUGUUUGGAUUAUAAGAUUAAAUUACCUUAGGGAUAACAGCGUAAUUUUUUUUAGAGUUCUUAUCGAAAAAAAAGAUUGCGACCUCGAUGUUGGAUUAAAAUUAAUUGUUGGUGAAGAAGCUGAUAAAUUAGGUCUGUUCGACCUUUAAAAUUUUCCAUGAUCUGAGUUUAA
rnacentral:rRNA from 1 species